UGGGGAAUUUUGCGCAAUGGGCGAAAGCCUGACGCAGCGACGCCGCGUGUGCGAUGAAGGCCUUUGGGUCGUAAAGCACUGUCAAGAGGGAAGAAAACUGGCGGGCGAAUAACUCGUUGGAAUGACGGUACCUCUAAAGGAAGCACCGGCUAACUCUGUGCCAGCAGCCGCGGUAAUACAGAGGGUGCAAACGUUGUUCGGAAUUACUGGGCGUAAAGAGCGUGUAGGCGGCUAGUUAAGUCGGCUGUGAAAGCCCAUGGCUCAACCAUGGAAGUGCAGUCGAUACUGGUUAGCUGGAGUCCUGGAGAGGGUGGUGGAAUUCCCAGUGUAGAGGUGAAAUUCGUAGAUAUUGGGAGGAACACCAGUGGCGAAGGCGACCACCUGGACAGGUACUGACGCUGAGACGCGAAAGCGUGGGGAGCAAACA
rnacentral:rRNA from 1 species